rnacentral:lncRNA from 1 species
GAGAAAUUGAAAGCUGAAGCUACCAUGGAAAGGAAUGACUUUGCAUAUCUUAUAGAGGGGAUGGAAGACCAAGCAAAUGGUAUGUAUGUGUGAACUCUUUUUACUUGCACACAUCUCUUUUGUAUAAUUUAUUAUAACAAAUAUUCAUUAAUAUAUGACUUGACCUGAAGAAGGACAGAUGCAGGUAAUUGCACAUGUUGAUCUCUGACUGUUUAGGUUUCUUUAGUGCAGAUCUAUGGUCAGAUCCGCUGUAAAUAAUCACAAUGGUACACAAAGUCUUAAAGAAAAAAAGUAACUAAUUUAACAUUAAAAACACAUGUAUUUAGUGUAAAAUGAGAAGGGCUUAGCCUUAAAGAAAAUGAUUUGCCAUCCUGUGCAGCUGGCUUGUCAGUAUUGCAAUAUUGUGAUUAUCACAACAACCCUACUUGGGCUGCUCUUAAUCCUGCACUUAAACCAUUUAUUGUAUUUCUAAUCGGUUUUCAUUAAUUUUUCAGAUGAAAAGUGCUACCCAAUGCUGGUUGUUCUGGCAUAUCUUCUGCCACCGUUGCCUGGAAGUCGCUGCAGUGUUAAAUAUGAAAUUUAAUUCCUUCAAUUUCCAUUUGUACCGCCUGGAGCCAUAUUGCAUCCCUCUGCAGCAGUUUUGAGACCGCAUCAAAGACCAGACCACAGCCAAUCUACAUUGAGAGUUUGAAGAGCACAACAUGACAAUACAUUGCGACGAUUGACAAAAUGACCAUUUCUGUGGAUGAGGGCCUGACGUGCUGUGGACAAGAUAUUCUAGGUGUGAAACUUCUGUCCACCACAGAUUAGUUCUGUCUUCACUUUCUAAGACUGGGACAUCUAAUAUUGAAACGCCACAUUCUCUUCCUUUUAAAACUGACAUUCCUACUUACUGUGCCUCUUUUGUGGCCCAAAUGUAUUCUUCAUCAAAUACAACUAGUGGAUGUAACAAGAAGUAUUACUUCACAAUUAGCACACUUACAAUUUUACAAUAUUUACAACAUUGAUUGUCAUUGAGAACAAUUUCAAAAUAUG